AAACUUUCUGGCCAUUGGAUUGUGGCUGGAUGACAUUAUUGUUAGAGUAAAUUAUGUAAAACACCAUUUCUUUGCACAAACAACUUAAACGUUUUCAAUUACAUUUGCAUUUCUAGUCAUUAAUCGUCCUACUGCAUCAAGAAAUCCGUGUCGAUAUUCUUCAACAAAACGCCUUACAUUAAAACGGAAAUGACCAUCACGUCGAAUUCUUUCAUUUUAUCCUUCCAAACAUGUGUUGGGGAAAGUUUACUGCGACAAUAUGGCCCGAACAGCGAUUAUUUUAAACUCUCUCUUUCGCCUGGGACAUAUAUAGCUACGCUUCAGGAAUUUAUACGCUGAGCACGUUGACAUUAGAAUGGAGAAUUGCCAGCUUAGAAAAUUGUGUAAGCGUUCAUGGUCAAGAUUUGGACACAAAUUGACGAUAUGAUGCGGUUCUGACACUACUGGGAACGGAAAAGUUCAUCAACGUUGUCUAUUAACCUGACUUCGCUUGCAAGAACUGGAUUUUAAGCAAAGUUUUGGUCACUUGUGGCAAUUUGGUAUUUAGACAUGGUUUUAUUGGUUGUGUUUUGGUUGAAAGUAUGUUUUGGUUGAAAGUAUGUUUAUGACCAGGAGUGCAAUUCAAAAUGUGUCUGUCUUGGAAAUACGAUAUCGUAAUAGUGCAAUUUGAUAUAUUGUAAGUGAAAAUAAAUUUUGAUGUUACAUGGUAGUGUCACCGGC